GUAGGAGCCGGCUUGCUGGCGAUGACGAUUUGUCAGCCACCCUCAUUGUUGCCUGACCCACCGUUAUCGCCAGCAAGCCGGCUCCUAC
rnacentral:misc_RNA from 1 species